AUUGAACGCUGGCGGCAGGCCUAACACAUGCAAGUCGAGCGAGCGGCGGACGGGUGAGUAAGGAAUGGGGAAUGACCGAUAGAGGGGGAUAACAACUGGAAACGGAGGCUAAGACAGCAGAAUGUCGGAUAACCCAUAUUGGAUUGGCUAUUAGGUAAGUUAAUGGCUUACCUAGGCGACGAUCCCUAGCGGGUCUGAGAGGAUGAUCAGCCACACUGGGACUGAGACACGGCCCAGACUGCUACGGAGGCAGCAGUGGGGAAUAUUGCACAAUGGGCGCAAGCCUGAUUCAGCCAUGCCGCGUGUAUGAAGAAGGCCCUAGGGUUGUAAAGUACUUUCAGUCGGGAGGCGUUACCGACAGAAGAAGCACCGGCUAACUCCGUGCCAGCAGCCGCGGUAAUAC
rnacentral:rRNA from 1 species